AUGUCCCCUUGGGGGCGUCAGAGACUGGAGUUCCAAGCUGGCACCCGCGCGGGAGCGGCGACGGGUGCUGGAGCCGUGUAGGGCGAGAGCGCCUAAUGGCUGCAGGAGGAGCUGGAGGCGCACGGCGGAGUGUCCUUGCUGCAGCUCCACUGCUGGCCUCACGAGCAUUCCGAGUCAUCGCACAUCGAGACGGCCAUCACCCUGACCAUCUCGGGCCUCAUGUUGCACCGCCGGCACUAGGACAACCUGCGCAUUCUCUCCAUCGACCCCGACGCCGCCGACAAGGAGCGCUUCACCACGCGCAGUAAGGCGGCCACUGUGCUGCUCUAUGAGGCCGAGGCCGAGUGGCAGCCAGAACCCGGCGCCCUCGCCUCGGUGCUUGGGCCUGCUCCUGCAAAAGCUGCGAGACGACGGCUGCCAGGCCUACUACCUCCAAGGUGGUUUUAACAAGUUCCAGACAGAGUACUCAGAGCACUGCCGUGACCAAUGUGGACAGCUGGUCCUGGCUGAGCAGCUCGCCAUCCACCUCAGCGCUGGGCCUGGGGGCCCUCCGCAUCAGUUCCUACAGGGAGUCCGAUCGAGAGCAGCCCAGCAGUGCCACCGAGUCGGACGGCAGCCCUGUGCCAUCCAGCCAACCGGCUUUCCCCGUCCAGAGCCUGCGCUACAUCUGCCUUGGCCGUGCCAAGAACUACACCAACCUUGACGUGCUUGGCAAGUAAAGACGGCAUCAAGUACAUCCUCAAUGUCACGCCCUACCUGUCCACUGCCUUCGAACACGGCGGCGAGUUCACCUCCAAGCAGAUCCUCAUCUCUGACCACUGGAGCCAGAACCUCUCAUAGUUCUUCCCCGAGCCAUCAGCUUCAUCGAUGAGGCCCGCUCAAGGAAGUGUGGUGUCCUGGUGCACUGCCUGGCAGGCAUCAGCCGCUCAGUGACGGUCACUGUGGCCUACCUUAUACAGAAGAUGAACUUGUCACUCACUGAUGCCUAUGACUUUGUCAAGAGGAAAAAGUCCAACAUCUCACCCAACUUCAACUUUAUGGGGCAACUGUUGGACUUCGAGUGGACGCUGGGGCUGAGCAGCCCGUGUGACAACCACACCCCCAGCCAGCAGCUGUAUUUCUUCAUGCCCACCAACCACAACCUGCUCCCACCCUCGAGUCCACGUGAAGCCAGGGGCACAGGUGGGCCUGUGAGUGGGCCCGUGCCUGCCUCGCCUGAGGAACCCGAACAUCGCCUGUGCCCAGAGGCCCAGGCUGAGGGUUGGCCAAGCUCCCCUUGCUAUCCUGGGGUGGGCCAAGCCAAGGCAAGGCCUCCAUCUGCAGGACUUUCCACAGAGGCCCCUCAGCGCUCAGACCUACAGCUGCAGUUUGAGUCUAGCGGGGCCUCAUCCUUGUCCCAGGACACUCCGUUCUGCUGA